rnacentral:rRNA from 1 species
CCCUUAGAUGUUCUGGGCUGCACGCGUGCUACACUGAUAUUGCCAAUAUGUCAUUCUUAUCCGAAAUGGAUUGGGUAAUCAAGUAAUGAAAUUUCAUGCUUGGAAUCGGUAAUUGCAAUUUUAUCGUGAACGAGGAAUUCCUAGUAAGCACUAGUCAUCAGCUAAUGUUGAUUAUGUCCCUGCCCUUUGUACACACCGCCCGUCGCUACUACUGAUUGGGUGUUCAAGGGAGAUGCUUAGACCCUUGUUGCAUGGUUCAUUAUUGUGCUCCGAAAGGAAAAAGUUUCAAGCUUGAGUGUCUAGAGGAAGUAAAAGUCGUAACA